ACAAGAUGUGGUAUGUGACACCGAGUGUGCAUGUGUGUGUGGAUCCAGUGGAGCAAAGCAUCCAGGUUGCUCCACUGGAUCCUUUGUUAAAAUUUCAUGUGUAUUUUAGGCAAGAUCCGUAAUCAGCUGCAUAUAAGCUCUUUGGGCAUUGAACUCACACAGUAUAACGCUUCCAGUUUCAUAAUCAUGAGCACUCUUGUACUGCCACCAGGCCUCUAGUUUAUGGUAAAUUGUACCUCCGACAGGGCGGCCCGGUAGUCCAGUGGUUAGCACGUCGGCUUCACAGUGCAGAGGUAUCGGGUUCGAUUCCAGCUCCGGCCUCCCUGUGUGGAGUUUGCAUGUUCUCCCCGGGCCUGCGUGGGUUUUCUCCGGGUGCUCCGGUUUCCUCCCACAUUCCAAAAACAUGCAUGGCAGGCUGAUUGAACACUCUAAAUUGUCCCUAGGUGUGAGUGUGAGCGUGGAUGGUUGUUCGUCU